AAAUAAUAAAAAAUUUGGGAGGUGCCGGAUGAGAUUGGUGAGGUGCAAGCAGAAGCACUCAUCCUCCAAAUUCCCACUUCUCGCGUUGACGUACUCCUCCUAACCGUUUUUCUGGUGCAAGGAUUCUCUUUCAUCACCUGGUCCUUGUUUGUAUUAUUUGUGCAAUCUUACCUUUUAUGCAUGUUACACCCUUCUACAACUGAGGAGAUUGAGUAAAACCCUCCUCAUCAUUGUGUGUGAGGAAAAAGCUUAACCGUUACUGGCUUGUACAACCCUUCUCACUUGGUAUGAUUGUUAGUUAGUCUUAAGGUGCAUGAAAUGCUGCACAACUUUGAGUCAUUCAAAUUCUUCAUUUGAUGCAUCAGAGCAAAAUGAAAUUUUACAUCAUAAAUGUCGAUAUGCCAGGGAGUGCGGUUGCUGUAAAAGUACAUACCCAUUAGUUAUCCAGAUAUAGCCUUUUCUCGUACCUCUUGUACUCCAAUGUAAUUUUCAUCUAUAAUUAAAUCAGCUAAGAGAUAAUCAAUCUCUUGAGCUCUUUUUAUUAUAUUUUUAGUCUUAAGUGCUAAUUCUCUAUUUCCUUAGUUAUUUCAUUGACGAGCAAUGUCACAAGUCUUGAGUAAUUUGAAUUUUAAGUGUCAGUUAGUAGUUUGAGGCAUCGUCAGCUUGUUCAAACAAUGAUCUGAAUGGAAGAAUUCCUUGGGGAAGACAGUUGCAAACAUUUGAUGUCUCUAGUUUUGGAGGAAAUCUUGGUCUUUGUGAUGAGCAACCAAACAAAAGUUUCCCUGGAGAUAAUACAACGGCAGUGCCUCAAGGAGCAGAAGUUGAUGAUGAAGACGAUGAAAAUUCAAUUUUCUAUGGAGCAUUAUAUAUGAGUUUGGGACUAAGAUUCUUCAUAGGCUUUUGGAUCUUAUUAGGGACAGUACUACUUUGGCAACCAUGGAGAGUUGUUUAUAUGAGAGUCUUAAACAGACUGACAGAUUUUGGAGGAUUAGCUUCAAAUUUCAAUCUGGGAUGAAAGCUUCAUGAGUUUUUGGAUUAGAAGUUUGCAAGAGUUAUUUCAGCAGGUUGAUAUGCCAGGUUACUGAGAGUUGUGGCUAUUGAACACCCAAAGGAUGCUGAUCUUGUUGCUGGAAUUGUUCUUGCGGAAGUCAUCCCUUUCCUGUCCAAAAAAUUACCUCUUGCAACUCCUCCACAGGAGAAUGCCCAUGGGGCUCCACUAAAUGUUGAGCUGAUUAUUCAUUGGUACUAGAUUUGAAUGAAGCUCUAGACAAUUCUACAUUGUCAAAUGUCAGUAAUUCAAAUGGUGUUACUGAAAAGUUUCUUGGAAUGGAUGAUAUGAAAGAGCUAGAUGUUUUACAGAAGGUUAAAGAUAAUUUCAUUGAAGAGAUCUCAAACAAGAUUGCUAUGGAGAUAUUCAGGAAGGAACGUAUAUUCUCCAAGAAUCAAGAAGCAUUUCAUUUGGAAAGAAAUCAAAGCAAGGAUUCUUGAAGAAUUGCUAAAUUUUCAAAGUCUAAUCAAUUUGCAUUGUGAGGUGUACUGUUGGAAGAUUAGAAUUGUCUGCAAUCUUGUGAGAUUGUGGUUUUCCUGUUGUUGCUGCCCAGGAAGAGAACUUUGGAGUUCUAGUUACUUUGAGUGUGGUAUCUCAAAGGGAUUGCAAAAUGAGGAUUGUUCUUUUUGUGUUUUACUACAGUAGAUUUGGAGUUAGGGAGGACGACACAUUGAGAGGGUGUCUUUAUAAUACUUGUUGUAAAACUCGAUCUAUAUAGUGGAUUACUUUUCAUCUUAGGUUGAUUGAAAGAGACUAGAUGUAGGCAUUGAGGCCGCACAAGUAUAAACCUUGGUGUUGUUCUUGCUA